rnacentral:rRNA from 1 species
CCUACGGGUGGCAGCAGUGGGGAAUCUUGCGCAAUGGGCGAAAGCCUGACGCAGCGACGCCGCGUGUGCGAUGAAGGUCUUCGGAUCGUAAAGCACUGUCGCGAGGGAAAAAGCCAGUGAUGGUACCUCGAAAGGAAGCACCGGCUAACUCUGUGCCAGCAGCCGCGGUAAUACAGAGGGUGCGAGCGUUGUUCGGAAUUAUUGGGCGUAAAGCGCUUGUAGGCGGUUUGCCAAGUCGCAUGUGAAAGCUCCAGGCUCAACCUGGAAAGUGCGCGCGAAACUGGCAGACUUGAAUGCCGGAGAGGGUGGCGGAAUUCCCGGUGUAGAGGUGAAAUUCGUAGAUAUCGGGAGGAACACCAGAGGCGAAGGCGGCCACCUGGACGGACAUUGACGCUGAGAAGCGAAAGCGUGGGGAGCAAACAGGAUUAGAUACCCUUGUAGUC